GGGCUGGGAGGAGGACCUGCUGCCUGAGGAGAGGGAGGUUCCUCUGCUAAACCUCUACCUUACCACCAAGAGAGUGGAGGACAUCGGCCUGAGGCUCAUCUCCCUGCGCCAGGCAUUUACUGAUGAGGCCGAAUUCAUCCGUGCCUAUAACGACUUUGUGAACUACCUGAGUGACCCCUCCAAGCAGAUUGACA